rnacentral:rRNA from 1 species
UACGUAGGGUGCAAGCGUUGUCCGGAAUUAUUGGGCGUAAAGAGCUCGUAGGCGGUUUGUCGCGUCUGCUGUGAAAAUCCGGGGCUCAACCCCGGACUUGCAGUGGGUACGGGCAGACUGGAGUGUGGUAGGGGAGACUGGAAUUCCUGGUGUAGCGGUGAAAUGCGCAGAUAUCAGGAGGAACACCGGUGGCGAAGGCGGCUCACUGGCCCGAUACUGACGCUGAGGCACGAAAGCGUGGGGAGCGAACAGG